GCCCGGCUAAUUUUUUGUAUUUUUAGCAGAGACGGGGUUUCACCCUGUUAGCCAGGAUGGUCUCAUCUCCUGACCUCGUGAUCCGCCCGCCUAGGCCUCCCAAAGUGCUGGGAUUACAGGCGUGAGCCACCGCGCCCGGCCUAAUAAAGGACAAUUUUUAAUAGCCACUGGACUAUUUAAGUGAUCUCUUCUGUCAGUUUCUUUUACCAUCAGAGGACACAGCAGCAAGGUGCCAUCCUAGAAGCAGAGAGCAGACCCUUACCAGACAACCAACCAGCUGGUGCCAUGAUCUUGGACUUCUCGGCCUCCAGAACUCUAAUUAUGUUACUUCUGUUUCACAUGGAUCUCAUAUAGAAAAUGCACAAGUGUUUAAGAACAGAAUAUAAUGAUGAAGGAAUAUCAAUAAGUAUAUUUUUUGCAUUGGUUAUAUUAGUCAAACAUGGCAUUACAAAAGGAGUGUCUAAUCUUCCCCAGAUGUCAUUAUAAGACAUUUACCUCCACCUUGGAAGAAUACAAAGGACUCCACUUAAAAGGCAAAUCAAGCCAAACCUUAUAAAGACAAGCCACAGACUUCAGGUUACAUGUUUUGAGUUCUGCACAAAAUAUUUGAAUGGGUGCUUCAUAAAAGAUGAUAUAUGAGGACUUGGGGCAGAACAAGAUGGCAGAAUAGAAGGCUCCGCCAAUUGUCCCUGCUUCAAGGACACCAAUUUAACAACUAACUACAUAAAAUAGCACCUUUAUAAGAACCAAAAAUCAGGCACUUAAACACGCAGCAUGAGGAAAAUGGAACAACAAUCUUGAGGUGCCUUCUGAAUCAUCAGAUUAAAUUAUGCUUCGGUCUUGCACUGCUGCCUAGGCUAGAGUGCAGUGGUGCAAUCAGGGCUCACUGCAGCCUCACUCAACUUCCCAGUCUCAAGCCAUCCUCCUACCUCAGCCUCUGUUCCACUAAUCUACUUGUCAAUUUUUCCAGCAACACCACACCCUCCUGAUCACCAUAGCUUUAUGCAACAACAAGAAACAAAUUUAUUAGCUAACCUAACCACUAAUGACGCAAGAGACAAUUCUAAGGACUUUCAAAACAGCAAAGUAGGAGCAGCUGCUACCUCUAGGGAUGAGGGAUGCAAUUGUCCAAUUAUUGGUGAAAUUGUCAUUUCAUGCUAUUGGCUAUUUGAAAUUCCUCCUCUAAUUUCAGAAUAAAUCACUGAAAUUGACAUCGGCCAGUCUGAAUUUCAAGAAAUUACCUGCUGAAGACAAGAGGGAUCUCUUCUUCAGAUUUGCAGUCUGGGGAAGACACAGCCUCUACUGUACUUUAGAACCUGAGAUAUGGUGGUGGAGGGAGCCCUGGGUCGAGUGGUAAGAUUCACCCUUAGGUUAGUAUUGACGUAAGGUGACGAGGAGCUGUAGACAAAAGAUUGUAACCAUAAGAACUUCAUAGUUUUUGUAUUUUCACCGAGCUUAUAUUUGGUGUGUUUUUUGUCUUUUCUUUAUGAUUAUCAAUAAAAUGCUUGAAAG
rnacentral:lncRNA from 1 species